UACGUAGGGUGCGAGCGUUGUCCGGAAUUAUUGGGCGUAAAGGGCUCGUAGGCGGUUUGUCGCGUCGGGAGUGAAAUCCACUGGCUUAACUGGUGGCUUGCUUUCGAUACGGGCAGACUGGAGGUAUGCAGGGGAGAACGGAAUUCCUGGUGUAGCGGUGAAAUGCGUAGAUAUCGUAAGGAAGACCAGUGGCGAAGGCGGGUCUCUGGACAGUUCCUGACGCUGAGGCACGAAGGCCAGGGGAGCAAACGGG
rnacentral:rRNA from 1 species